UCUGGGAUAGCUCAGUCGGUACAGCAUGAGACUUUUAAUCUCAGGGUAAUGGAUUUGAGUCUCAUGUUGGGCAGAA